rnacentral:rRNA from 1 species
AUACGGAGGGUGCAAGCGUUACUCGGAAUCACUGGGCGUAAAGCGCGCGCAGGCGGGCUGAUAAGUUGGAUGUGAAAGCCUACGGCUCAACCGUAGAACUGCAUCCAAAACUGUCAGUCUAGAGUGUGGGAGAGGAAGAUGGAAUUAGUUGUGUAGGGGUAAAAUCCGUAGGGAUAACUAGGAAUACCAAAAGCGAAGGCAAUCUUCUGGAACACUACUGACGCUGAGGCGCGAAGGCGUGGGGAGCAAACAGGAUUAGAAACCCCGGUAGUCC